CCUACGGGUGGCAGCAGUGAGGAAUAUUGGUCAAUGGACGAGAGUCUGAACCAGCCAAGUAGCGUGAAGGAUGACUGCCCUAUGGGUUGUAAACUUCUUUUAUAUGGGAAUAAAAUGUUCCACGUGUGGGAUUUUGUAUGUACCAUAUGAAUAAGGAUCGGCUAACUCCGUGCCAGCAGCCGCGGUAAUACGGAGGAUCCGAGCGUUAUCCGGAUUUAUUGGGUUUAAAGGGAGCGUAGGUGGAUUGUUAAGUCAGUUGUGAAAGUUUGCGGCUCAACCGUAAAAGUGCAGUUGAAACUGGCAGUCUUGAGUACAGUAGAGGUGAGCGGAAUUCGUGGUGUAGCGGUGAAAUGCUUAGAUAUCACGAAGAACUCCGAUUGCGAAGGCAGUUCACUGGACUGCAACUGACACUGAGGCUCGAAAGUGUGGGUAUCAAACAGGAUUAGAUACCCCUGUAGUC
rnacentral:rRNA from 1 species